UAGCGGUUGUGUUGUCGUACCUUCAGACUAGCGGUUGUGUUGUCGUACCUUCAGACUAGCGGUUGUGUUGUCGUACCUUCAGACUAGCGGUUGUGUUGUCGUACCUUCAGACUAGCGGUUGUGUUGUCGUACCUUCAGACUAGCGGUUGUGUUGUCGUACCUUCAGACUAGCGGUUGUGUUGUCGUACCUUCAGACUAGCGGUUGUGUUGUCGUACCUUCAGACUAGCGGUUGUGUUGUCGUACCUUCAGACUAGCGGUUGUGUUGUCGUACCUUCAGACUAGCGGUUGUGUUGUCGUACCUUCAGACUAGCGGUUGUGUUGUCGUACCUUCAGACUAGCGGUUGUGUUUUAUUGUAAAAGGCCGCCGGAGACGCCCGUGUCUCCUUUCUCGCUGGACUCCAUCUUGGACCCUCCAAAGCUGUGGGACUCAGCGGUGACGGAGCCUCCAGCACCGACGGCAACGCAGCAGGUGGCGGCCGCGGCUCAUCUGGACCAGGAGCGGGAGAUGGCUCGCAGGAAGGAGCAGGAGAGACGCAGACGACAGGCGAUCAUCGACAUGACGAUGCAGAGCGACAUCAUGUCAACUUUCGAGAAGAACCUGGAUUAAAGCGAGCGUUUGACUUCACAUUAAAGAGUUAUGUUCUCUCUGAGUGGAUUUCUAGGAGGAACCUUUCAUCUCGGUUGGCUUUAGGCCAAGAGGAGUCCGGAUGAAAGUUUAAAAGGUUUCUCGUCAGCGCGACGGUUCUGAUGUCCGCUUGCCUGUGAUUGGACGGCCGUGCGUCCUGCCCCCGGCCCUCAGAGUUUGUUUCCUGGUUUGUUGUGACCUUGGUCCCUGUGUGACUCAUGACUUGUUCUGUUGAAAGGCGAACAGAGGAGGGCGAGCAGAAACAUGCGCUAUCAUUUAUUGUCCUCAAAUCUUCUGUUUUUGUAAAGAAAAAAAUAAGACUAUCCGAGAGCCUAUUUUUGUUUGUAUUGAGUCUUUUUGUUCGUCUAUCAAGGUUUAGUUCUUGUAAAGAAUUGAAAAGCUGUAAAUUAAAUAUACCUAUGUUGAUCAACAUUUCCUAAA